UACGUAGGUGGCAAGCGUUAUCCGGAAUUAUUGGGCGUAAAGCGCGCGCAGGCGGUUUCUUAAGUCUGAUGUGAAAGCCCCCGUCUCAACCGGUGAGGGUCAUUGGAAACUGGGAAACUUGAGUGCAGAAGAGGAAAGCGGAAUUACACGUGUAGCGGUGAAAUGCGUAGAUAUGUGGAGGAAGACCAGUGGCGAAGGCGGCUUUCUGGUCUGUAACUGACGCUGAGGCGCGAAAGAGUGGGUAGCAAACAGG
rnacentral:rRNA from 1 species